GAUGAAGAACGUAGCGAAAUGCGAUAAGUAAUGUGAAUUGCAGAAUUCAGUGAAUCAUCGAAUCUUUGAACGCACAUUGCGCCCAUUAGUAUUCUAGUGGGCAUGCCUGUUCGAGCGUCAUUUCAACCCUUAAGCCCCCGUUGCUUAGCGUUGGGAACCUACAGCGAUGUAGUUCCUUAAAGUUAGUGGCGGAGUCGGUUCACACUCUAGGCGUAGUAAAUUUUAUCUCGCCUCUGUAGUUGGACCGUCCCCCGCCGUAAAACACCCCAAUUUCUAAAGGUUGACCUCGGAUCAGGUAGGGAUACCCGCUGAACUUAAGCAUAUCAAUAAGCGGAGGA
rnacentral:misc_RNA from 1 species